rnacentral:rRNA from 1 species
GGCUCAGGAUGAACGCUGGCGGCGUGCCUAAUACAUGCAAGUCGAGCGAACGGACGAGAAGCUUGCUUCUCUGAUGUUAGCGGCGGACGGGUGAGUAACACGUGGAUAACCUACCUAUAAGACUGGGAUAACUUCGGGAAACCGGAGCUAAUACCGGAUAAUAUUUUGAACCGCAUGGUUCAAAAGUGAAAGACGGUCUUGCUGUCACUUAUAGAUGGAUCCGCGCUGCAUUAGCUAGUUGGUAAGGUAACGGCUUACCAAGGCAACGAUGCAUAGCCGACCUGAGAGGGUGAUCGGCCACACUGGAACUGAGACACGGUCCAGACUCCUACGGGAGGCAGCAGUAGGGAAUCUUCCGCAAUGGGCGAAAGCCUGACGGAGCAACGCCGCGUGAGUGAUGAAGGUCUUCGGAUCGUAAAACUCUGUUAUUAGGGAAGAACAUAUGUGUAAGUAACUGUGCACAUCUUGACGGUACCUAAUCAGAAAGCCACGGCUAACUACGUGCCAGCAGCCGCGGUAAUACGUAGGUGGCAAGCGUUAUCCGGAAUUAUUGGGCGUAAAGCGCGCGUAGGCGGUUUUUUAAGUCUGAUGUGAAAGCCCACGGCUCAACCGUGGAGGGUCAUUGGAAACUGGAAAACUUGAGUGCAGAAGAGGAAAGUGGAAUUCCAUGUGUAGCGGUGAAAUGCGCAGAGAUAUGGAGGAACACCAGUGGCGAAGGCGACUUUCUGGUCUGUAACUGACGCUGAUGUGCGAAAGCGUGGGGAUCAAACAGGAUUAGAUACCCUGGUAGUCCACGCCGUAAACGAUGAGUGCU